GCUAGUUUUGUUGCAGAAUUGCAAAUGUUUGGUACUGGUUGAAACUAUGAAAGUAAUACAGGUAAAUUUAAAGAAUUUAGACUUUAACUUUAUUAAUAGAAAAGAUAUUCCCAAAUGUCAAGGUGAAAGUGGACAUUGUAGAUUCUAAACACCCAUGUGAAAGCAACAGUCUUCUAUGGUGAGAGGAUGCCAUACUUAGCAUUAAUGCUCUUGUUAUUAUAUGGAAUAUGGCUUUUUUUAUCAUUAUUUUCACUAUUUUGAUAUUGAACAACCAACAUUGAUAACAAGUAAUAUAAAACUCUCACUUUUUAUGAAUCCUAUAUUAUCUGAUUAUAUUAAUUUACUUAUUUAAUUUUUGUUAUAUUUGUUAUCAAUUGUAGGUCUCAUGGUUCUCAUUUAACAGCAGGUUAUUAGCAGCAGUUUUGUAGAAAAAUGAAGGAUGACUGUCAAUGGUAAAUACAUACAUUUUAGGAUAAUUACAUGUAGUUACCUUUGAAAAAAAACUUAGGUUUCAUUUGAGACUUUUUAAUCUGAUAAUGGUGUUUUGCAGGCAUUUAUAACAUUUCUUUUUGGACAAUAUAUUUAGUAGACUCAACUAUAAAAUGUAGGAUCAUGUAAACUUGUACACAGAUGUCACUGACCUACAUUUUCCACUUCACUGACUUUGGUUACAUUAAACAUCCAAUUUCAUAUACAACAAAUGUAUAUCUCAGCAACUAAAAGGUGUCAGAUCAUGCAAACUUAUAUAUACACUCUCAGAGUCUCAGUAAGUAACUCAGCUUCCAGGCAAAAGAAGGUCACAGUGAUCCACAUUUUACACUAUUGAUUUGUACUUUAUUUUAUAAUUUAAAUACAAAGUAUAUUAUCAAGACUGCCACUGGUUCUUAUGUGCCACAAUUCUGACAAUGAAGAUAACUAUGUGAUGUAGAUAACUUAUGUUUAUUUCAAACUUGGUCACAUGCUGUAUAUGUAAAUUUUUACCAAAAAGAACAGUUCAACUGUAUUGAUUUAAGGUAUAUGGUAAAGGUCACACCUAUUAAAUAUACAUGUAUACCUUGAAUUUAUUUGACUUGGACCCUAUAAUGCUCCCUAUAUCAUUUAUGUUGUCAAUUAUUGCAAUCCAAAUUGCCAUGAUUGUACACAAAACAAAAACCACUAAAAAGGAUGGCCAUCAUAUGCAAAAGCAAUAUAAAAAAAUGCAUACCCAUCAGCUGACCUAAUUAUUGCAAUCACUUCAAAAACCUGGCCAUAUAUCAUAUUAUAAAACUCUUAAUGAGUACCUUUGUUAGUCAGGUAUAAUAUAAUCUUUUUAAAUUGAUGUUGUAAUGCAUGAUUGGAUUAAUUUUGCACUCACUGAAAAUAUUAUAUAGAUUUAGUAGUUUAUUAGUAUAUAUUACACCUUUUCAUUACAUAAAUUAAACUUUCAGGUAAAUGCAGCAACAGAAUGUUCCCCUGGAAAAUUUACGCAGAAAGUUUGGGAAAGUAUGAAUAAGAAAUUAGAGAGGCAAACAGAUAACCAGAAAACAAAGAUUUUAAAAGAAAAGAAUUACCACUAAUAGUAAUAUGAUAUAUCUGA
rnacentral:lncRNA from 1 species